CAUCUUCCGAUCGAUUAUCACCUGCUGCCUGUCACUCUUCUGGAAAGGAAAUGUCUGCCAGAAGACAUCACUCUAUUACAAACUCAAGAGUGGCCUGCAGAUCCAAAUUAAUGAGAAAAUUAACAACUUAUCAGCACUGGGACAACUGCGAGAUCAUCUUAAAACCCCACCUUAAAGGGAAGGACUGUAAAACAGCUUGGGAGAAAGACUGAGAAAUUUGCUUGGAGGUGCCUGUUACUUUCAUUUCAUGUAGAAGUGGCUCAAACCACUGAUUAUAUGAUCUUUGUGCACAUAAUUUUUGUUCCUUGAAAAUGUUACCUUCAAAGCCUCGAUAACUUUUCACUGUAGGAAUGUGAAAUCAAACAGAAUCAGAAAAGUGAGAAGAUUUUCUUCUUCAUUAUCUUAAUG